rnacentral:tRNA from 2 species
GGGCGUGUACCCAAGUGGCCAAAGGGGGCAGACUGUAAAUCUGCUGGCAAUGCCUUCGCUGGUUCGAAUCCAGCCGCGCCCA